rnacentral:rRNA from 1 species
AUUGAACGCUGGCGGCAGGCCUAACACAUGCAAGUCGAACGAGUGGCGGACGGGUGAGUAAUGUCUGGGAAACUGCCUGCUGGAGGGGGAUAACUACUGGAAACGGUAGCUAAUACCGCAUAUCAUCGGAUGUGCUCUGAUGGGAUGAGCUAGUAGGUGGGGUAAAGGCCUACCAAGGUGACGAGCCGUAACUGGUCUGAGAGGAUGAUGAGUCACACUGGAACUAGGACACGGACCCAACUCCUAAGGGAGGCAGCAGUUGAGAUUAUUGGACAAUGGGCGAAAGCCUGAUCCGGCCAUGCCGCGUGUGUGAAGAAGGUCUUCGGAUUGUAAAGCACUUUAAGUUGGGGGGCGUUACCAACAGAAUAAGCACCGGCUAACUUCGUGCCAGCAGCCGCGGUAAUAC